AGUGAACGCUGGCGGUAGGCCUAACACAUGCAAGUCGAACGGCAGCACAGUAAGAGCUUGCUCUUACCGGUGGCGAGUCGCGUACGGGUGAGGAAUACAUCGGAAUCUACUUUUUCGGGUAGGAUAACGUAGGGAAACUUACGCUAAUACCGCAUACGACCUACCGGUGAAAGCAGUGGAACUUCUCACCUUGCGCGGUCGAAUUAGCCGAGGUGGGAUUAGCUAGUGGGCGGGCUAAAGACCCACCAAGUCGGCGAUCGGUAGCUGGUCUGAGUGAAUGGUCAGCCGCACUAGAAGGGGGACACGGUCCAGACUCCUACGGGAGGCGGCAGUGGGGAAUGUUGGACAAUGGGCGCAAGCCUGAUCCAGCCAUACCGCGUGGGUGAAAAAGGCCUUCGGGUUGUAAAGACCUUUUGUUGGGAAAGAACAGCAGCAGGUUGAUACCCCGCUGUUCUGACGGUACCCAAAGAAUAAGCACCGGCUAACUUCGUG
rnacentral:rRNA from 1 species